rnacentral:rRNA from 1 species
CUAAUACAUGCAAGUCGAGCGAGAAGUCACAUUACUAAUUCUUCGGAAGAAGUAAAGUGAUGGAGAGCGGCGGACGGGUGAGUAACGCGUAGGCAACCUGCCUCUCACAGGGGGAUAGCCAUCGGAAACGGUGAUUAAUACCCCAUAAAGUCAAAAUAACACAUGUUAAGCUGACCAAAGAUUUAUCGGUGAGAGAUGGGCCUGCGUCUGAUUAACUAGUUGGUGAGGUAACGGCUCACCAAGGUGACGAUCAGUAGCCGACCUGAGAGGGUGAACGGCCACAUUGGAACUGAGACACGGUCCAAACUUCUACGGAAGGCAGCAGUAGGGAAUCUUGCACAAUGGGCGAAAGCCUGAUGCAGCAACGCCGCGUGAAGGAAGAAGGCCUUAGGGUCGUAAACUUCUGUUCUUGGGGAAGAAAAAAAUGACGGUACCCAAGGAGGAAGCCCCGGCUAACUACGUGCCAGCAGCCGCGGUAAUACGUAGGGGGCAAGCGUUAUCCGGAAUUAUUGGGCGUAAAGCGUGCGUAGGUGGUAAUUUAAGCGCAAGGUUUAAACUAACGGCUCAACCGUUAAUUGCCAUGCGAACUGGGUUACUUGAGUGCUGGAGGGGAAAGCGGAAUUCCUAGUGUAGCGGUGAAAUGCGUAGAUAUUAGGAGGAACACCGGCGGCGAAGGCGGCUUUCUGGACAGCAACUGACACUGAGGCACGAA